rnacentral:rRNA from 1 species
AUUGAACGCUGGCGGCAUGCCUUACACAUGCAAGUCGAGCGGCAGCACGGGAGCAAUCCUGGUGGCGAGUGGCGAACGGGUGAGUAAUAUAUCGGAACGUGCCCAGUCGUGGGGGAUAACGUAGCGAAAGCUACGCUAAUACCGCAUACGAUCUAUGGAUGAAAGCGGGGGAUCGCAAGACCUCGCGCGAUUGGAGCGGCCGAUAUCAGAUUAGGUAGUUGGUGAGGUAAAGGCUCACCAAGCCGACGAUCUGUAGCUGGUCUGAGAGGACGACCAGCCACACUGGGACUGAGACACGGCCCAGACUCCUACGGGAGGCAGCAGUGGGGAAUUUUGGACAAUGGGCGCAAGCCUGAUCCAGCAAUGCCGCGUGCAGGAUGAAGGCCUUCGGGUUGUAAACUGCUUUUGUAUGGAACGAAACGGCGAGCUCUAAUACAGUUUGCUAAUGACGGUACCGUAAGAAUAAGCACCGGCUAACUACGUG